GGGUUCUGCCCGGGGACGCAGCCCAGUUGGUAGCGUCGCUCCCUGAGCGUUUCUAAGGGGGCCGCCCGGCCUUGUCUUUCGGCAGUGGCCGAGCCACCGCCGCCUGCCGCGCGUUCCAGAGCUGGGCGCUGCAGCUGCACUGCCGAUCGCCGUGUUUGGUCGAUAGAAUCCCCAGUGUGCCCAGAGAGUGCGACCCCUCGCCCGGCCCGGCGAGCCCCGGGCGUGAACCGAGCUGAGGGAGGAUGGCAGCCUCUGGGGUGGAGAAGAGCAGCAAGAAGAAGACCGAGAAGAAACUUGCUGCUCGGGAAGAAGCUAAAUUGUUGGCGGGUUUCAUGGGCGUCAUGAAUAACAUGCGGAAACAGUGAUUUAAAUCUACCACCCAGCUGUAGUUGAAUCUACAAUCUGCUCAGGGAUUUAUACUCAAUGCCAAUUUGAUAUCAUGCUGGGAGGGACUGAUUGCAGAACCUUCUUGACAAGCCACAUAAAUCUAAAGAAAACGUUGUGUGACGUGAUCCUCAUGGUCCAGGAAAGAAAGAUACCUGCUCAUCGUGUUGUUCUUGCUGCAGCCAGUCAUUUUUUUAACUUAAUGUUCACAACUAACAUGCUUGAAUCAAAGUCCUUUGAAGUAGAACUCAAAGAUGCUGAACCUGAUAUUAUUGAACAACUGGUGGAAUUUGCUUAUACUGCUAGAAUUUCCGUGAAUAGCAACAAUGUUCAGUCUUUGCUGGAUGCAGCAAACCAAUAUCAGAUUGAACCUGUGAAGAAAAUGUGUGUUGAUUUUUUGAAAGAACAAGUUGAUGCUUCAAAUUGUCUUGGUAUAAGUGUGCUAGCGGAGUGUCUAGAUUGUCCUGAAUUGAAAGCAACUGCAGAUGACUUUAUUCAUCAGCACUUUACUGAAGUUUACAAAACUGAUGAAUUUCUUCAACUUGAUGUCAAGCGAGUAACACAUCUUCUCAACCAGGACACUCUGACUGUGAGAGCAGAGGAUCAGGUUUAUGAUGCUGCAGUCAGGUGGUUGAAAUACGAUGAACCUAAUCGCCAGCCAUUUAUGGUUGAUAUCCUUGCUAAAGUCAGGUUUCCUCUUAUAUCAAAGAAUUUCUUAAGUAAAACGGUACAAGCUGAACCACUUAUUCAAGACAAUCCUGAAUGCCUUAAGAUGGUGAUAAGUGGAAUGAGGUACCAUCUACUGUCUCCAGAGGACCGAGAAGAACUUGUAGAUGGCACAAGACCUAGAAGAAAGAAACAUGACUACCGCAUAGCCCUAUUUGGAGGCUCUCAACCACAGUCUUGUAGAUAUUUUAACCCAAAGGAUUAUAGCUGGACAGACAUCCGCUGCCCCUUUGAAAAACGAAGAGAUGCAGCAUGCGUGUUUUGGGACAAUGUAGUAUACAUUUUGGGAGGCUCUCAGCUUUUCCCAAUAAAGCGAAUGGACUGCUAUAAUGUAGUGAAGGAUAGCUGGUAUUCGAAACUGGGUCCUCCGACACCUCGAGACAGCCUUGCUGCAUGUGCUGCAGAAGGCAAAAUUUAUACAUCUGGAGGUUCAGAAGUAGGAAACUCAGCUCUGUAUUUAUUUGAGUGCUAUGAUACGAGAACUGAAAGCUGGCACACAAAGCCCAGCAUGCUGACCCAGCGCUGCAGCCAUGGGAUGGUGGAAGCCAAUGGCCUAAUCUAUGUUUGUGGUGGAAGUUUAGGAAACAAUGUUUCUGGGAGAGUGCUUAAUUCCUGUGAAGUUUAUGAUCCUGCCACAGAAACAUGGACUGAGCUGUGUCCAAUGAUUGAAGCCAGGAAGAAUCAUGGGCUGGUAUUUGUAAAAGACAAGAUAUUUGCUGUGGGUGGUCAGAAUGGUUUAGGUGGUCUGGACAAUGUGGAAUAUUACGAUAUUAAGUUGAACGAAUGGAAGAUGGUCUCACCAAUGCCAUGGAAGGGUGUAACAGUGAAAUGUGCAGCAGUUGGCUCUAUAGUUUAUGUCUUGGCUGGUUUUCAGGGUGUUGGUCGAUUAGGACACAUUCUCGAAUAUAAUACCGAAACAGACAAAUGGGUUGCCAACUCCAAAGUUCGUGCUUUUCCAGUCACAAGUUGUUUAAUUUGUGUUGUCGAUACUUGUGGAGCAAAUGAAGAGACCCUUGAAACAUGAAAAAUGAGUGGACUUCAGACUCAUCAGAGACUCUAAAAUAUAGCCACCAGUGCUUUGUUCCAGGAGUUUGGUGACAAAGUUUUGGUUUGGUGUUUUGGUAAAGAAAGUUUCAAGUGAAAUGAGGUUCCUAUAAAAUAGAUGUUUCUUUUAUAUGGAUUUCCUUAAUUCAAAGAUCAUAUUUUAGCUGGCCACAAAACCAAGAACAUAUCUAGCAAGAAAACUUGAAAAAGUAUAAGCAUUUGUUAAAAAUGUGAAUUUCUUGAAUGAAUUUCACAUUUGUAACUAUGAUUUUGGCAGAAUAGAAGAUUGGCUCAUCAGUGAAGCGCAGUAUCUUAGCUCUAGAUUCUAUUUUCAUGCAUCACAGAAGUGCUAUACGGUUAGGUCUGUUUGUGCUCAGUCAAGAACUAAGAAAUAGUAUGAAUUGUAAGUCAAGAUGGGCAACUCAGAUGGAGCAGCUUAGUCUCACAGUUUGCUUGUCUAUUUAUUUUAUUUAGUGCCAAAUGUAUUCCAUUUUAAAAGUAAGCCAGAGUGAGUCAAGGCAUAUACACACUUUCUCACAAAACUUCCUAAACAGAUUUGGGGGUUUAAUAUGUCCAACUCCUCAUGAAAUAUAUUCAAUCCACUUAAAUAUAUUCCAUCUUUUUAACAUAAAAUGUAAAGCUUAGCACCCAUCAUUAAUUUAUGUCUCUGUUUUAUCCAGUGGUUAAAAAAGGAUUCUGCCUCUUUAGUCCUCACUGUUAAAUAAAACCCAAUCAUAGUAAGUGAUUAACUAGCAAAAAGUAAAGCUAUUUAUAGCAAAUUUCUAGAUCAUUAGAAAAGCACUGGUAGUUGUACAAUAUCAGUGUUGACUUUGAACUUCUUUAACGAGAUCAUGAAUUCUUUUCCCUUAGCCAAAACAUGAAAUAUUUAACCUAGUUGUCUCUAAAAGUUUUGUAAUCAUGAGUUAGAUAUAUGUCAUCUCCUAUUCAUUGCUUUUAUGUGAUCAAUAAAUCUUUUACAAACCCAACUACUCAUUUCCUUCCUAGUAAUACUUUGCCUUUUUCACUGUGUAUGGAAUGAAACAUGUAAAGCUGUCACAAUCAAUGUUUUUAUCUGAUAAUAUUAAAUAUUUUUUAACUUAAAAUAGGCCACUCAGUUUGUUCUUCAAGUAUUUUAGGUAAUGGUUGUUUUUAGAAUUUGUGAACCAGUGUCUCUUAAUUUUCAGUUUUCUUUAUAUAGAGGUUAUAAUAGUCUUAAACCCUAAAAAUGUUUAAAUCAAAAAGGAAUUAGGAAAAACAUAAUGAUAGGUAUAUUUCUAUUUGUGUAGGGUUUUUUAAUGUACAGCUUUAUUGAGAUAUAAUUCACAUACCAUACAAUUCACCAUUUAAAGUAUACUAUUCAGGCCAGGCACAGUGGCUCACGCCUGUAAUCCCAGCACUUUGGGAGGCCAAGGUGGGUAGAUCAUUUGAGGUCAGCAGUUCAAGACCACCCUGGCCAACAUGAUGAGACCCCGUCUCUACUAAAAAUACAAAAAUUAGCCAGGCCUGGUGGUGUGCACUUGUAAUCCCAGCUAUUCAGGAGACUGAGGCAGGAGGAUUGCUUGAACCUGACAGGCAGAGGUUGCAGUGAGCUGAGAUCAAGCCACUGCACCCCAGCCUGGGCAACAGAGCAAGACUAAAAAAAAAAAAAAAAAAAAAAAAAUGUAUUAUUCAGUGGUUUUUAAUAUAUCCACAGAGUUACGCAACCAUCACCACAAUUUUAGAACAUUUUCAUCACCCCAAAAAGAAACCUUGUACUGAUUAGCAAUGGUUCCCUAUUUCCCCCAACGCCCCUGUAUUUCCUAGGGCUACCAUAACAAACUACUGCAAACUUGGUGGCUUUAAAGAACAGAAAUUUAUUCUCUCACAAUUCAGGAAGCCAGCACUCCUAAAUCAAGUUGUCAGCAGGGUUAGUUCCUUCUGGAGGGUCUGCAGCAGAAACCACACAUGCCUCUCCCCUAGCUUCUGGUGGUUGCCAGCAAUCCUCAGCAUUCUUUGGCUUGUAGCUGCAGCACUUCAGUCUCUGUCUCUGUCUUCGCAUGGGCUUUUUCCCUGUGUGUCUCUGUAUCUUCACAUGGUGUUCUUAUAAGGACAACAUAGGAGCCAGACACAGUGGCUCAGGCCGGUAAUUUCAACACUUUGGGAGGUGGAGGCAGUAGGAUCACUUGAGGCUAGGAGUUCAAGACCCUGUCUCUACAAAAAAAUAAAAAGUUAGCAGGUGUGGUAUAUACCUGCAGUUCUAGCUACUCAGAAGGCUGAGGUGGGAGGAUCACUUGAGCCCAGGAGUUCAAGGAUGUAGUGAGCUAUGAUUGUGCCACUGCACUCCAGCCUGGGUGACAGACUGAGACCCUGUCUCAUUAAAAAAAAAAAAAAAAAAGCUGGGCGCUGUGUCUCACGCCCUUAAUCCCAGCACUUUGGGAGGCCGAGGCGGGUGGAUUACCUGAGGUCAGGAGUUUGAGACCAGCCUGGACAACAUGCCAAAACCCCGUCUCUACUAAAAAUACAAAAAUUAGCCAGGUAUGGUGGUGUGCACCUGUAGUCCCAGCUACUCAGGAGGCUGAGGUAGGAGAAUUGCUUGAACCUGGGAGGCAGAGGUUGCAGUGAGCUGAGAUUGCGCCACUUCAUUCCAGCCUGGGUGACAGAGCAAGACACCUUCUCAAAGCAAAAUACAAACAAAAAAAGGACAACAUAGGGCCCGCAAUCCAGUAUGACCUUAUUUUAAUUACACCUGUAAAGACCCCAUUUCCAAACGAGGACACAUUCUGAGCUUCUGGAUAGACAUGAAUUUGGGGAGAUGCUGUUCAACACAGAAAACCUCCCAAACACCAUAGCCCUAGGCAACCACUAAUCUACUUUCUGUCUCUAGAUUUGAUUAUUCUGAACAUUUUUAGUAGGGUUUUCAAUUUUGCACUCUAUUGAAAAAUGUGGCUAGUUUAAUUUUUUGAGAGUGAAAUAUCCAUUUAUUAUAUUACAAUAUAGCUAUAUAAUUUGACAAUCUCCUAUGUAGAAUAUACAGUACCUGUCUAAGAUAUUUUAAGUACACCAGCAUUUCCUUUUAGGCUAUGUCAAUUGACUAGAACACACUAUAGUAAAUACAUACACAGGUUUGAUGUGGAUUAUAAUGAAGUGGUUUUUUUCCUUAGUAAUCUGUAUCAUAAUUCCCAAUUAGUGUCUUUUUCUGCCUUGGAAAUUUCUACAGAAUUGUCAAUAUCAGGAUAGUGCGUAAAAGUACACUCACCAUACUGACAAGCACAUUUUCUAUUUUGUUGCCCAAAACUCCCUGUCCUGUAAAGUGCUCUGCUUGCUUUUUAGUAGACAUUUGAUAAGUUAAUGUUAUAUCCUUUGCAAUGAUAUUAUUUUGAUGACAAAGUAAGUUUAUGCUUUCAAAAAUCACAAUUCGGUCAGAAAAGUUUAGCAUCUUAAAAAAAUUGUUGCUAUUUGAAAAAAACAAAACAAAACAUAUACUUGUGACUUUGUGGUCCAGCUGGCAAAAACUUGACAUAUCAUCCCAUGAAAAUUUUAAGUCAUGAAUUAUUUUGACAUGACAAUAUUGCUAACAAAAUCAAAAUCAGCCGUUUAAUAAACAAUUAUUCCACCAA